AGACCCGAAACCCGGUGAUCUAGCCAUGGGCAGGUUGAAGGUUGGGUAACACUAACUGGAGGACCGAACCGACUAAUGUUGAAAAAUUAGCGGAUGACCUGUGGCUGGGGGUGAAAGGCCAAUCAAACCGGGAGAUAGCUGGUUCUCCCCGAAAGCUAUUUAGGUAGCGCCUCGUGAAUUCAUCUCCGGGGGUAGAGCACUGUUUCGGCUAGGGGGCCAUCCCGGCUUACCAACCCGAUGCAAACUGCGAAUACCGGAGAAUGUUAUCACGGGAGACACACGGCGGGUGCUAACGUCCGUCGUGAAGAGGGAAACAACCCAGACCGCCAGCUAAGGUCCCAAAGUCAUGGUUAAGUGGGAAACGAUGUGGGAAGGCCCAGACAGCCAGGAUGUUGGCUUAGAAGCAGCCAUCAUUUAAAGAAAGCGUAAUAGCUCACUGGUCGAGUCGGCCUGCGCGGAAGAUGUAACGGGGCUAAACCAUGCACCGAAGCUGCGGCAGCGACACUCAGGUGUUGUUGGGUAGGGGAGCGUUCUGUAAGCCUGCGAAGGUGGCCUGUGAGGGUUGCUGGAGGUAUCAGAAGUGCGAAUGCUGACAUAAGUAACGAUAAAGCGGGUGAAAAGCCCGCUCGCCGGAAGACCAAGGGUUCCUGUCCAACGUUAAUCGGGGCAGGGUGAGUCGACCCCUAAGGCGAGGCCGAAAGGCGUAGUCGAUGGGAAACGGGUUAAUAUUCCCGUACUUGGUGUUACUGCGAAGGGGGGACGGAGAAGGCUAUGUUGGCCGGGCGACGGUUGUCCCGGUUUAAGCGUGUAGGUGUGUGUUCCAGGUAAAUCCGGUUCACUUUAACACUGAGGCGUGACGACGAGGCACUACGGUGCUGAAGCAACAAAUGCCCUGCUUCCAGGAAAAGCCUCUAAGCAUCAGGUAACAUCAAAUCGUACCCCAAACCGACACAGGUGGUCAGGUAGAGAAUACCAAGGCGCUUGAGAGAACUCGGGUGAAGGAACUAGGCAAAAUGGUGCCGUAACUUCGGGAGAAGGCACGCUGACAUGUAGGUGAAGUGAUUUACUCAUGGAGCUGAAGUCAGUCGAAGAUACCAGCUGGCUGCAACUGUUUAUUAAAAACACAGCACUGUGCAAACACGAAAGUGGACGUAUACGGUGUGACGCCUGCCCGGUGCCGGAAGGUUAAUUGAUGGGGUCAGCGCAAGCGAAGCUCCUGAUCGAAGCCCCGGUAAACGGCGGCCGUAACUAUAACGGUCCUAAGGUAGCGAAAUUCCUUGUCGGGUAAGUUCCGACCUGCACGAAUGGCGUAAUGAUGGCCAGGCUGUCUCCACCCGAGACUCAGUGAAAUUGAACUCGCUGUGAAGAUGCAGUGUACCCGCGGCAAGACGGAAAGACCCCGUGAACCUUUACUAUAGCUUGACACUGAACAUUGAGCCUUGAUGUGUAGGAUAGGUGGGAGGCUUUGAAGUGUGGACGCCAGUCUGCAUGGAGCCG
rnacentral:rRNA from 2 species